GAUGAACGCUGGCGGCGUGCCUAAUACAUGCAAGUCGAGCGAACGGACGAGAAGCUUGCUUCUCUGAUGUUAGCGGCGGACGGGUGAGUAACACGUGGAUAACCUACCUAUAAGACUGGGAUAACUUCGGGAAACCGGAGCUAAUACCGGAUAAUAUUUUGAACCGCAUGGUUCAAAAGUGAAAGACGGUCUUGAUGUCACUUAUAGAUGGAUCCGCGCUGCAUUAGCUAGUUGGUAAGGUAACGACUUACCAAGGCAACGAUGCAUAGCCGACCUGAGAGGGUGAUCGGCCACACUGGAACUGAGACACGGUCCAGACUCCUACGGGAGGCAGCAGUAGGGAAUCUUCCGCAAUGGGCGAAAGCCUGACGGAGCAACGCCGCGUGAGUGAUGAAGGUCUUCGGAUCGUAAAACUCUGUUAUUAGGGAAGAACAUAUGUGUAAGUAACUGUGCACAUCUUGACGGUACCUAAUCAGAAAGCCACGGCUAACUACGUG
rnacentral:rRNA from 1 species